GAAAGCAGGCCUUAGUGAUCCGGCGGUGGAGAGUGGAAUCGCCGUCGCUCAACGGAUAAAAGGUACUCCGGGGAUAACAGGCUUAUCGGGCCCAAGAGUCCACAUCGACGGCCCGGUUUGGCACCUCAAUCAUCUGGGGUGGGCCGGCAGAGAUGCCGGUCUAGCAUCGGCUUAUAACGGUGGAGCCCAGGCCUGUGUGUGCACCAUCCGAAUGGCGCACUAACAUGGGUAAUACCGUGGGAAGUCUGUCGGAAGUGCAGCACGCGAUCGUCGUCGGGAGUCUUCUCGGCGACGGGAGCAUGCGCUGCAAGACCAACGCGCUUCUUGAGAUCAAUCACUCGUAUCACCAGGCGGCAUAUGUGCAAUGGAAGUAUCAACACCUGGCCGAUCUGGUUCGAACACCACCCAAGCUGCGAAGGGGAAACGGGCACCGCGUUGCGUGUCGCUUCGUGACGCGUAGCGUUCCGGCUCUUACCUCCUACUUCCGCCUCUUUUACCGGGAUGGGAGGAAGCGGGUUCCCCGCGUGGAGCUGACUCCACUUUCGCUUGCGGUGUGGUUCAUGGACGACGGGUGUCGGUCGCGAGGUGCGGUGUACCUGAAUACGCAGCAGUUCGACGUCGAGUGCCAGGAGAGGCUUUUGCAGCUGCUCCACGAGCAGUGGGGCAUCGGCGGAACGCUCAAUCGCGACAAGUCGUACCGGCGCGUUCGGCUGUCGGUGGAAGGAACGGUUCGACUGGUCGGGAUCAUUGAACCGUUCAUUAUCAAUGAGCUCAGGUACAAACUUCCGUAAGUGACCCCGUAACGACUGAGGCCGCAAGGCCGAGGUGGCGGUCCGCUCGUGAUUCGAGCAAUCUAUGGUCGCCACAACACGCCGACCCCUCGCUCUUUGGUCGGGCAGGGUGGAGAUAUAGUCUGCGCUGCCGGUAACGGCAGAGUUACGCGCGAUGUCGGCUCGUCGCAUCCUGGGGCCGGAGUAGGUCCCAAGGGUUGGGCUGUUCGCCCAUUAAAGCGGUACGCGAGCUGGGUUCAGAACGUCGUGAGACAGUUCGGUCCCUAUCCGCCAUGGGCGCUGGGAGCUUGAGAGGAGUCGUCCCUAGUACGAGAGGACCGGGACGAACAGGCCUCUGGUGUAUCAGUCGUCGUGCCAACGGCGCUGCUGAUUAGCCACGCCUGGACGGGAUAACCGCUGAAAGCAUCUAAGCGGGAAGCCCACCUCGAGAUGAGGCUCCCCAUCCCCUCGAGGGAGUAAGGGCCGUGGGAGACCACCACGUCGAUAGGCGGGACGUGUAAGCGCGGCAACGCGUUCAGCGGACCCGUACUAAUUGCCCGAGGUCUUGAUUUC
rnacentral:rRNA from 1 species